rnacentral:tRNA from 1 species
GGUUCUAUGGUGUAAUGGUUAGCACGCUGGACUCUGAAUCCAGCAAUCUGAGUUCAAAUCUCGGUAGGACCU